rnacentral:rRNA from 1 species
AGAGUUUGAUCCUGGCUCAGAUUGAACGCUGGCGGCAUGGCUAAAACAUGCAAGUCGCACGCGAAAGUGGAGCUUGCUCCACGAGUAGAGUGGCGAAAGGGCGAGGAAUGCGCUUCUAACGUGCCCCAAGGUUAGGGAUAGCUCAGGGAAACCUGUGGUAAUACCUGAUAAUCCCGGUUGACUGCAUGGUCGGCCGGGCAAAGGCUUGCCGCCUUGGGAGCGGGGAACGUGCUAUCAGGUUGUUGGUGAGGUAACGGCUCACCAAGCCUUAGACGGCUAGCGGGUGUGAGAGCAUGACCCGCCGCAUCGGGACUGAGACACUGCCCGGACUCCUACGGGAGGCUGCAGUAACGAAUAUUCCGCAAUGCGCGAAAGCGUGACGGAGCAAUGCCGCGUGCAGGAUGAAGCCCCUCGGGGUGUAAACUGCUGUCAGGGGUCAGAAACACAAUGAUCAACCCCAGAGGAAGGGCCGGCUAACUUCGUGCCAGCAGCCGCGGUAAUACGAAGGGCCCAAGCGUUAAUCGGAAUCACUGGGCUUAAAGGGUGCGUAGGCGGGUCUGUAGGUGUCUUGUGAAAUCCCACGACUCAACCGUGGAACUGCUUGGCAAACCACAGACCUUGAGGUCGGUAGAGGUUGUCGGAACUCUAGGUGGAGCGGUGAAAUGCGUAGAUAUCUAGAGGAACGCUCAUGGCGAAGGCAGGCAACUGGGCCGAUUCUGACGCUGAGGCACGAAAGCGUGGGGAGCGAACGGGAUUAGAUACCCCGGUAGUCCACGCUGUAAACGAUGUGUACUAGAUCGUGGUCGUUUUGACGCGAGCACGGUUGGAGCAAAAGUAUUAAGUACACCGCCUGGGGAGUACGGUCGCAAGGCUAAAACUCAAAGGAAUUGACGGGUCCUCACACAAGCGGUGGAGCAUGUGGCUUAAUUCGAUUCAACGCGAAGAACCUUAUCCUGGGUUUGACAUACAUGGAUUAGCUGCUGGAAACAGUAGUGACACGGCUUGCCGUGGAACAUGAACAGGUGCUGCAUGGCUGUCGUCAGCUCGUGCUGUGAAGUGUAGGGUUAAGUCCCCUAACGAGCGAAACCCCUAUCGUUAGUUGCUACCAGGUAAUGCUGAGGACUCUAGCGAGACUGCCGGUGUCAAACCGGAGGAAGGUGGGGAUGACGUCAAGUCCUCAUGGCCUUUAUGCCCAGGGCUGCACACGUGCUACAAUGGCUACUACAGAGCGAAGCGAUACCGUAAGGUGGAGCAAAUCGCAAAAAGGUGGCCCCAGUUCGGAUCGGGGUCUGCAACUCGACCCCGUGAAGGUGGAAUCGCUAGUAAUCGCGUAUCAGCUACGACGCGGUGAAUACGUUCCUGAGGAUUGUACACACCGCCCGUCAAGUCAUGGAAGCCGGGAGUACCCGGAGCCGCCUUACUUCAAAGGUGUCUACGGUAAGCUCGGUGACUGGGACUAAGUCGAAACAAGGUA